GUCCAAGGAGCAAAAUAAAUAUUUGGUAAAAGGGAAAAAAACAGAAAAAAACAGUAAGUCAAAAUGUAGCAAAUGGUCCUUUUGAACCUAAUGGCAGUUAGCACCCACCCGCUAGAUUGUCAAAGCGGGCUAUCAGUGUCUCUUUGUUUAGUAAUUGGUUUAGCAUGGUACUGGAAGUCAUAGAACUAGUAUUUAUUCCUUUUUAGCAAAACAUGAACUUGCAU